GCCUAACACAUGCAAGUCGAGCGGCAGCGAGAGUAGUAGCAAUACUACUUGUCGGCGAGCGGCGGACGGGUGAGGAACACGUAGGAACUUGCCCAGAAGAGGGGGAUAACCAAGGGAAACUUUGGCUAAUACCGCAUAAACUCGAGAGAGAAAAGGUGCCCGCAAGGGUGCCGCUUUUGGAGAGGCCUGCGUCCGAUUAGCUAGUUGGUGAGGUAAAGGCUCACCAAGGCGAUGAUCGGUAACUGGUCUGAGAGGACGACCAGUCACACUGGGACUGAGACACGGCCCAGACUCCUACGGGAGGCAGCAGUGGGGAAUAUUGGACAAUGGGGGAAACCCUGAUCCAGCGAUGCCGCGUGGGUGAAGAAGGCCUUCGGGUUGUAAAGCCCUUUAGGUUGGGAAGAAGUAUAUGAGGGGAAUAUCCUUGUAUAUUGACGGUACCGACAGAAUAAGCACCGGCAAACUCUGUGCCAGCCGCCGCGGUAA
rnacentral:rRNA from 1 species